UGCAUUUUAGAAUUGAUAUCCAGCUGAGUUUCUAGAUACAGUACAAGUUAUAAAACCUAGUGUGGGCUGUAGCAGUUCUGCCUCAAGAAUGCAAAGUAGAGAGAGCGAUAGUUGAACGACAAACGGGAGCCAUUUGUGAUGGACACUUUAAAAACUCGAGGGUGGGUUUCUCUCACUGCGCUGUCGCACGCAGCGGCGCAAUGGCACCAACAAAGUACUGCAUCUCACACAAAUAUGAGCGUGCAGCUGGCUUGCUUUUCAUUGUUGUUUUUCGUUUGUCAAGCUUCCUCAAGUUGGCCUACCACGUGUUCUGUUCACUUUCAGAGUGAGAUGAUGGGCUGCAGAGAUGCCACAGGGAUAUGAUACAAGUAGGGUUGGUUCCACUUCAAUGUAGGCGGAGUGUGACGGAGGGGGUUGAACUGUGGGUUGAGCACUGCAAAAAAAAUGAAUAUGUGAGUAGGUGUUGAAUAAAGUGCAGUAGAGGUUCAGCCAAGAAAGACUGAAAUGCUUUAAUUUAGCUUUGGGCUUUCAUAUUAUUUCUAACAGCUCAAACAAAGUGCUCUAUAAACAUGAAGUUGCCAGAAGUAAAGGACACAAUCAGUCGCUUCAGAUUCACACAAUCGUGUGUGGGCCUUAGUGGUUGCCUGUGUGUGUCUUAUGCGGUCUGGACACCCUUCUGGUUAGAGGAUGGUGGACUCUGGACUGAGUGGAAUGACACAAGGGGUGACCGUGGCGGUGAUGGUGUGAUCUUCAACGAACAAUCAACUUUCCUGUGGCACAACUGAUGAUCUGUAACAGCACACUGGUUGGGAAUCACUGCUCUGUCAGACUAAAACGUGAGCCCUCCAAGCAGAGCGAGUUUUUGGGGUUCUGUCCUUCCUAUUGGCCUUGAGCACAGGGGCUCUCUCACUUGUUUUUGCCCUCUGCUGGACAUCAGAGACAGUGCGUUCCUACUCCAACACUCGCUCUCUGCUGAUGGCAGGCCAGGCGCUCUAUCCCACCACCUUGUUGCUCCUCACCAUGUCAUCGACAGGUUUCUUCUUCCUACUCAGCUGGUCCUUUUUCACCUAUCAUCACUCUGAAGAAAUCUACCAGGACUUUUCCAUCUUAGGCUCGUCUUACUGGCUGGGGGCUUUAGGCUGGAUCCUAUUGCUGGUUGUCGAAACGAUCAUCUUCGUAGCUGAGCAAGCUAUUGUGCCUGACAUCCUGGAAGACCUGGAGAAGGUACUGAAGUCAUGGCGGGUCAACUCUCGGCUCAAUCGUAGCUUCAGUGAUGGUUGUCCUCAGCUUGCAAUCAGUAAAAGUAAGAUAGCUCCAAAGCGGUACAUGUCAGUACCUUGAACGGGCUCCGACAUUUGUAUAUGACAGUGAAAAUGUGUGCAAUACAGUAUUUUCACGUGAAUAUGUUCAAACUCAAUGUGGAAAACAGCAUCUUAUCACGAUACCGAAGGCAUCUUCCAGACAUAUGAACUCACAAAAAGACACUUAAGCCCAAUUUCCCAACGGUUUGCAAAGUGAUUUAUCACACCGGAGUGAGCUUAAUUGCAAUAGCUUGUUUUUGGUUUUUGAAUACAGCGACGCAAAGGCUGCUGAAAACAGCAUCUCCGUGUCUAACCGUGGUGAGAAGGUGCAGACAAAGUGAGAGGUGAUGGGGGAAACGGAUCUUUUGUGUUUGAGGAAAUGUUUUUCAAAUGCUCGAAUCAAAAAUAAUGCCGAUAUAUUGUUUGUUCACCAAUGCAAUUUUGGCGCUUUAUUAAAUGACGUAAAGGAUUGCAAAAUACUUCCAACUU